rnacentral:sRNA from 1 species
CGGGCAGGCUGUGCUAUCCCGCAGCCAGACGUCGGGAUGGUGCAGCUGUACAACCUGCACCCGUUCGGGUCGCAGCAGGUGGUGCCCUGCAAGCUGGAGCCGGACCGGUUCUGCGGCGGGGGGCGUGACGCGCUUUUCGUGGCGGCGGGCUGCAAGGUGGAGGCGUUCGCGGUGGCCGGCCAGGAGCUGUGCCAGCCACGGUGCGCCUUCUCCACGCUGGGCCGGGUGUUGCGCCUGGCCUACAGCGAGGCUGGAGAUUAUUUGGUAGCAAUUGAAGAGAAAAACAAAGCUACAUUUCUACGUGCUUAUGUGAACUGGAGAAAUAAAAGGACUGAAAACUCUCGUGUGUGUAUCCGAAUGAUUGGGCAUAAUGUGGAGGCACCCUUCAGCAAAACCUUCAGAGACCAGAUGUACAUUAUUGAAAUGCCGCUUUCAGAGGCCCCCUUGUGCAUUUCCUGUUGCCCUGUGAAAGGAGACCUUCUCGUUGGCUGCACAAAUAAAUUAGUCUUAUUUAGUUUGAAGUACCAGAUCAUUAAUGAGGAAUUCUCACUAUUGGACUUUGAACGUUCUUUAAUUAUACACAUAGAUAAUAUCACUCCUGUUGAGAUUUCUUUUUGUGUUGGAUAUGUUGCUGUCAUGUCAGACUUAGAAGUCUUAAUCGUAAAACUGGAGUCAGGCCCUAAAAAUGGAGAGAGAGUUCACCACCAUCCACAUAAGACCAACAAUCGAAUGAGACGGACAGAAGAAGGCAUCAGUAAUGAAAUUUCACAGCUUGAGUCCGAUGAUUUUGUCAUCUGCCAGAAGCCCCUGGAACUUCUUGGUGAAAAAAGUGAACAGUCUGGAUUAUCUGUUACACUGGAGUCUACGGGAUUAGCUGAUGAAAAAAGAAAAUAUUCCCACUUUCAGCACCUGCUCUAUAGACGUUUUGCUCCUGAUAUUUCGUCCUAUGUCUUGUCUGAUGACAUCAAGCUACAUUCCCUCCAACUGCUGCCCAUUUACCAGACUGGUUCUCUUACGUCUGAUGGAAAAAAUUUGUCUCAGGAAAAAGAAUUGCUGAGUCUCUUUUGCUUUUUCUCCUUACCUCAUGUGGGCUAUCUCUACAUGGUUGUCAAAUCUGUUGAAUUGAUGUCAGUCUACCAGUAUCCUGAGAAGUCUCAGCAGGCAGUACUCACGCCACAAUUUUUGCACGUCAUUACAAGUAACAACCUGCAGUGUUUCACUGUGCGGUGCAGUGCAGCGGCAGCUCGUGAGGAGGACCCGUACAUGGACACCACCCUGAAGGCUUGCCCACCUGUUAGUAUGGAUGUCUGUGCUUUAAGAAUACAGCUUUUCAUAGGCUUGAAAGCCAUCUGUCACUUUAAAAACCACAUCAUACUUUUGACUAAAGCAGAACCUGAGGCCAUUCCAGAGAGAAGACAGUCACCCAAGAGGCUUCUGUAAGCAUCCGCUUGCCCCAGGCAUUCCUGCCAGUUUCUGGAAUGAGUUGUAACUGGUAUAUUUUGUGUUUAUCUUUUUUCAAAUCAUAACUUAGAAUGAUCAAAUGGCUUUUUUAUGGUGGUCUUUUUCCAGAGAAAGAAAAGAAGUUUCUAACAAUCUCUGUAAUACACUUUAUAACUGACCUGGGAACUUUUAGGAGAAAAUGGAUUAUAAAAUAGUUUCAGUAAAAAUCAAAGGUGUUUUAGAUUAGUUAAAGGACAUGCUUUUCUGUGUAAUUAAUGGGAAAGACUGAGCCUAUAAUGCUAAUUGAAACUACAGGACUUUUUACUGUCUUUCUUCUUUGACCCUUUCAGUAGUUACAUUUUUAUCUAAAAUUAUUUUCUGAUAUUAUGAAAGAAAUUAAUAAUGUAUGUCUUACCUUAAAGCACAUUUAUGAUCUAUAGACAUGUGCUGAUCUAUC